rnacentral:tRNA from 1 species
GGGGGCGUAGCACAGUCUGGUAGUGCGCACGGUUCGCAUCCGUGAGGUCAGGGGUUCGAUUCCCCUCGUCUCCACCA